CUUUACUGUAGCCUGUUAUUGGGUUCGGGCUUUGCUCGCGCAGGAUAGGUGGGAGGCGUUGAGAUAUUCCUUGUGGGGAAUGUGGAGCCAACGGUGAGAUACCACUCUGGUGAGGCUAGAAUUCUAACCCGAUGCCGUGAACCGGCUUGGGAACAGUUUCAGGCGGGCAGUUUGACUGGGGCGGUCGCCUCCUAAAAGGUAACGGAGGCGCGCAAAGGUUCUCUCAGGCUGGUUGGAAAUCAGCCGUAGAGUGUAAAGGCAUAAGAGAGCUUGACUGCGAGACGUACAGGUCGAGCAGGGUGGAAACACGGCCUUAGUGAUCCGACGGCGCUGCGUGGAAAGGCCGUCGCUAAACGGAUAAAAGUUA
rnacentral:rRNA from 1 species